CCGAUGGGUGCAACGACGCCAUCUGGUGGAUGGCUUGGCUUGGGUGACGAUGAAGGGCGUGGCAAGCUGCGAUAAGCCUCGGGGAGACGCAAGCGGUCUUCGAUCCGAGGAUACCCGAAUGAGACUUCUCACCCAGGGUAAUACCUGGGUAAUCGGGUCAGCAAUGACCCGAUGGUGAACCUCGCGAAGGGAAGCAUCUGAGUAGCGAGAGGAGGAGAAAUCAAUAGAGAUCCCCUGAGUAGGGGCGACCGAAACGGGGAGAGCCCAAACCGAAUCCCUUGCAGUAAUGCAUGGGAGAUGUAGUGUGCCCGGCGGCGCAUGCCGGCCUGAUCGUUCAGUCGAAGUGGCCUGGAAAGGCCCGGCGUAGACGGUGAAACCCCGGUAGAUUAAGGACAGGAGGGUCGGUGCCGCUGGGAAGAGUACCUGGCCUUGGCAGUGGCUAGGGAAGAUGGGGGAAAGCGGCCUCCAAGGCUAAAUACAACCCAAGACCGAUAGCGCAAUAGUAUCGUGAGAGAAAGCUGAAAAGAACCCCGGAAGGGGGGUGAAAAGAGCCUGAAACCAGAUGGUUACAGACGUGUGCUGCUCAGAAGGAUCCAAGACCUAGUCGCUGGCCCGCAAGGGUCAGUGGCGGGGCUAGGAACCAGGGUAGCACGUUCCGUCUAGAAACACGGGCCGGGGAGUUCAUUUUCAUGGCGAGCUUAAGGGUUCAAAGCCCGAAGGCGAAGGGAAACCGGAACCUCGCAGCGUCGCAAGGCGUGAGGAGGGGGGUCUUAAAUGGGCUCCAAAGUCAUGAGGAUGAGACUAGAAACCGAGCGAUCGUGUCUCGAGCAGGAUGAAGCUGGGCGAAAGCCUGGUGGAGGUCCGAAAGGGUGCUGACGUGCAACUCGCUCCCCAGACUCGAGAUAAGGGGCCAAAAGCCAAUCUAGCUCGGUGAUAUCUAGUUCCCACCGAAGUAGAUCUAAGUCUAGCCCGGAUGGAUGUUGCCAGCGCCGUAGAGCACCGAUAGAAAGGCAAGGAUCCGAAAGGGUCCACCUUUCCUUCGAACUCCGAAUGUGCUGGCUCAGAAGAAGUCCGGAGACGGGUUUGUGUGGGGUAAGCCUCACAACCGAGAGGGGGUUAACCCAGACUUGAGUUAAGGUCCCCAAGUGCUGGCUAAGUGUCAAGCAAAAGGGCGUUUCUUUGCUCAGACAGCAGGGAGGUAGGCUCAGAAGCGGCCAUCCUUCAAAGAGUGCGUAACAGCUCACCUGCCGAGUAGGGGAGCCCCGAAGAUGGACGGGACUAAAGCCAGUCACCGAUACUCAGGAUCACCCCUGGGAUGCAGGGGUGGUGGUAGGUGGGCGUAGAGAUUGGGUCGAAGCGGGGCCGUGAGGUCCCGUGGACCGAUUUCUAGUGCAGAUCCCGGCGGUAGUAGCAGCGAAGCGUGGUGAGAAUCCACGCCGCCGAAAGGGCAAGGUUUUCCUGGCAACGCGUCGUCGGCCAGGAGGUAGCCGGUCCUAAGCGAUGCCCGAAAGGGUGUGGCGAAGAGGGAAGCCAGUUAAUAUUCUGGCGCCUGGACAAGACCGCGCCGCAAGGCACACUUGAUCUUGCGCUUCCAGAUAGGGCGUGCGGGGUCGUCGCCCCGUUUAACAGUCCGAGUCCUGGGGAGUGUCGUAAUGACGAGAACCAGGAAGAGGCUGGAAUAGCCUGCCCGUGGGCGGGUACGCCCGAUUCCGGGGGACAGUGAAAACAAGAUCGAGGAGGUCCUGUCUAGCCCGUACCGAGAACCGACACAGGUGUCCCUAGGUGAGAAGCCUCAGGCGUAUCGGGUAACCGUAGGCGAGGGAACUCGGCAAAUUAGCCCCGUGACUUCGGUUUAAGGGGUGCCUGCGGUCUUAUCGAUGAGAUGGGAUCGCAGGUCGCAGUGACAAGGGGGUCCCGACUGUUUAAUAAAUCGGAAAGGACCUCCGGCCAAGAGACAACGGUCUUCAAAUACCAUUGUAGCCUAGUCUAGAGAAAUGAAAAUCGACCCGUACCUUACAGCAAUCCUGUAUGGUGAUGGGUCAGUUUCCUUAAGAAAGGAUGGCGCAUAUGCAAUCUGGAUUGACCAAGCAGAAAUCAACAGAGACAUAAUGGUGAACGAAGUGAUUCCAAGGCUCCGGCAUCUUGGAAGCAAAGUAUACGUAUACAGAUAUUAUGCAAAAAAGGACAAGACAUACAAAUUCAGGGCUCUGAUAUACUCAAAGCAGGUGUACAAAUCGUUGAAGUUCAUUUUCAAUAGCAUCGAUACGUAUCUCAACGAACUUUCGAAUUAUGAAGCACGAACUUUCAUUGCAGGUCUGAUGGAUGCGGAAGGAACAGUUACCGAUCGAAUAGUAAUCUAUAAUAGUAAUCGCAAGUUGCUCGAAGCAGUCAGGAACAAACUCAUUCAGAUGGGUUUUGAAUACGUAUACAUCUUACAGGUUUGGUCGAAUCUUCGGUCUCCAGAUUUAUAGACGCAACAUCCUCAGUAAAUUCUUCGAAGAGAUUCCAGCUUGGAAGCUAAAGUCGCGUUUUAACAAAAUAUUUGGUUUUGAUGACUGAUGAACUGGCUAGAGGAGGUACCUUCCGAGUUAACAAACACAGGUGACUGCAAGCCCGAAAGGGUGUGUACAGUCACUGAAUCCUGGCCAGUGGCGGUACCUAAAACCUUCGUUCAAGAGGGCUAAGGGCCGCUUAACGCCGGGAGUAACUCUGACUCUCAGCAAAAGUAAAAGGGAGUCCCUAAACCCAGCCAUAUGCGGGAACAUCGGAAUACCCUUAACUACCUAAAAUGGUAAUAAUGUUAAGGGCGUUGAAGACAAUCCGCAGGAAACCUCGGAGCGAACAAAAUCAUGUUAUAUGAAUUCAAAGACCUAAUCGAUGUCGACUACUUGCCAUCUAAACUCAAUCAUCUAAAAUGGCACAUUACGGGCUUCGUCGAUGGUGAUGGAAGCUUUCCUGUGAUUCUAUCACCCGUAGCAAACAAGAAACACGGUUGGUUGAUUCAACCAAGAUUCGAAAUAGAACUUAGAAAUAACAACGAUUCACUAACUAUGCUCAAGAUAAUCAGCAGGUCUAUGAACCUCAGACCAAAGCUUAUUCAAGGGAAUAACUUCGUGAAGCUCAUCAUAACAAACAGGCGUCUCCUUCUUGAGAAACUCAUACCGUUCUUCGAAAAAUACAAACCUGUCCUGAAAUCCGAAGACUUUGCACUACUGAAGUAUGUCGCAGAGUCACUCGAUUCGAAGAAACAUAUGGAAUACAACGGAUUCAAGGACAUCAUAACACAGGUCUUUUCUACGCCUUCAGAUGCCGAAGGAAGGAGAAGGUGGGCCUUCAACGACAUCAUCAAAGACGAACCAACUCCACCUACAAAGACAGCGGCCGUUCCAAUCUUUUCAGAAGGUGCAGAAUUGCGUCACUAUCUUGCAGGAUUCAUCGAUGCUGAAGGAGCUUUGGGUUAUGCAGUAGUAUCAAAGACGAAGACAAUCACGCCGUACCUUACGAUAACAAACCAGAAUACGGCAAUACUUCAAAAGCUCCAGCAGGUGUUGAUGUGUGGAAACAUCAGCACAGGAAGACUUCAAAUUUACGGGAUGGACAACAUUCAACACAAGGUCAUCCCAUUCUUGGAUAAGCACAGACUGCUCGCAAAACGAACAACAUACGUGAAAUUCAAAGAAAUAUUGAACGUCUUGAAGGAUAAUAAACACAAGACACACUUCGAUAACGUAUUGAGCAUGAUUCGUUCGUUGAAUGACCGGGGAAUCCUCAGAGACCACACGCUGGGCACCUAUCCCAAACAAAGGGAAGGUGAAGAUAUGGUCCAGCAUCAAAAGGAUGUUGCUUAAGGUAGCCAAAUGCCUUGUCGGGUAAGUUCCGACGUGCAUGAAUGGACCAACGAGGGCCCCGCUGUCCCCGUCUACGACCCGGCGAACCUACGUAAGGUGGACGAACAGUCCAUCAACUUCCAUCGGGGAGAGAAGUCCCUGUGGAGCUUUACUGCAGCUUGUUGCUGCGAUGCGGUCUUCUUUGCAGAGUGUAGCUGGGAGACUUCGAAGCGCUGCCUUCGGGUGGCGUGGAGUCAACAAUGUAACACCAGCCUUAGUGGACUGCGUCGCUAACUCCUAAGGGAGGACAACGGCAGGUGGGCAGUUCGGCUGGGGCGGCACCCCCUUGAAAAGAUAUCGAGGGGGCCCUAAGGUCGGCUCAUCUGGGUCAGAACUCCAGAGUUGACGGCAAGGCGAAAAGCCGGCCUGACAGGAAGUUUAAACGCAGAACUUUCUGCAACGAAAGUUUGGCCUAGCGAUCCUCCAAGUCCUCACUGUUGGGGGCUGGAGGUGACAGAAAAGUUACCCCAGGGGUAACAGGCUCGUCGCGGGCGAGAGCUCCUAUCGACCCCGCGGUUUGGUACCUCGAUCAACGGAUUUGGGGUAUGACCGCAGCAAUGCGGGUCAAUAGCAUCGGCUUAUAACGGCGAAGCCCGACGCCUCACGGGAAGACGAGGCAGGGUAACGCCGUGGGAAGUCUGAUGAGUUUUUCGCAUAUUGAAUGAGCGGAUGGCUUGCCAGCUGUAAAUUUCCUUCAAAAGUGAACAGUUAUAUACAAUGUUCAACAUAAACUGAAUAAGAUGCAUUUCGUAACAUUGGUCAAGUUCCGGAAAAAGCCAACCAAGCAGGACUUUGCCGAAGAAGACAAACUCGAAAAGGAAUUCGCAAAGAAGGGGCUGAAGGUAAAGCAGGAUUUCUACACACUCGGCAGAUAUGACAACAUAAUGGUGAUAGAAGCACCAGACGAGAAGACCGUGGCCUCAUUUCUUCUGCGACAAUCACAGAUCGUAGCUACCGAAACGCUGGCGGCGAUUCCGAGAAGCGAAGGAAGAAAGCUGGUUUAGGCCUUUCCGCGGACUCAUCAUGACCCCGUAACGACUGAGGUCGCAAGUAGAGCGGCCGAUGAGAUAGCGUCUGCCAGAUUUCUUCUGGUGUAGCUAUCAUACGCCGACCCCUCCAUGUGCGUGGAGGGUGAAGACAUAGUCUAACUCCGCCGGAAACGGUGGAUAAAAGUUGCGAUGUCGGCUCUUCCCAUCCCGGUCCUGCAGCAGGGGCCAAGGGUGGGGCUGCUCGCCCAUUAAAGGGGAACGUGAGCUGGGUUUAGACCGUCGUGAGACAGGUCGGUCUCUACCUGAUGGAAGCGGCGGCCAUCUGAGGGGAAGUUGUCCCUAGUACGAGAGGAACAGGGCAAGGCGGCCUCUGGUAUACCGAUCCUCCGACAGGGGGACGCCGGGUAGCUAAGCUGUUGAGGAUAACCCCUGAAAGCAUCUAAGGGGGAAGCCUUUCCCGAGAAGAAUCACCCGCUCGUUUCUUGUUUCUGGCCGCAAGGCUGGGGGCAGGGGCGAGGAAGGACUCCGAUAGAAGAUCGGUUUGAUAGGACGGAGGUGUACGCUGGAAGUUCCGCAAGGAGCGACCAGUUCAGCCUGCCGUUACUAAUCGUCCAACGCUCCCGUCAU
rnacentral:rRNA from 1 species